GGCCGCGUGGCCUAAUGGCUAAGGCGCUAGAUUUCGGUUCACCGGAUUCAACUACUCUAGAGAUUUCAGGUUCGACUCCUGACGUGGUCG
rnacentral:tRNA from 2 species